rnacentral:rRNA from 1 species
AUUGAACGCUGGCGGCAGGCCUAACACAUGCAAGUCGAACGAGUGGCGGACGGGUGAGUAAUGUCUGGGAAACUGCCCGAUGGAGGGGGAUAACUACUGGAAACGGUAGCUAAUACCGCAUACCAUCGGAUGUGCCCAGAUGGGAUUAGCUAGUAGGUGUGGUAACGGCUCACCAGGGCGACGAUCCCUAGCUGGUCUGAGAGGAUGACCAGGCACACGGGAACGGUGACACGGUCAAGACUCCCACGGGAGGAAGCAGUGGGGAAGAGUGCACAAUGGGCGCAAGCCUGAUGCAGCCAUGCCGCGUGGAUGAAGAAGGCCUUCGGGUUGUAAAGUACUUUCAGUGAGGAGGCGUUACUCGCAGAAGAAGCACCGGCUAACUCCGUGCCAGCAGCCGCGGUAAUAC